rnacentral:sRNA from 1 species
AGAGCUCAAGACCUCUACUUGCAUAUCCAUGGCAGUCUAUCCUCUUGCCUUGAAACCAUACAAGCUUCUGAGAAUUCAGGAUAGAUAAUAUCCUGCGGAUUGAUUCCUCAGAAUUAAAACAAUAAACAGAGGAAAACAUUGGAACUCUGCUGAUUGAUUUUUAACAGAAUCUGACAAGUUACUGAACAAUAUAAGAAAGAGGAGAUUAGGGCACACAGAGGGAUACCAGGGGUGCAUGUGCACAGAACAUCAGCCAUGUGAAGAAUCAACAAGAGGGCAGCCAUCUGCAAGCUAAGGAAAGAGGGCUCAGAGAAAACCAACUCUGCUGACACCUUGAUCUUGGACUUCCAGCCUCCAUCACUAAGAAAAUUAAUUUCUGUUGUUUAAGAACCCAGUGUGUGGUGUUUUGUUAUGGAAUCUCCAGCAAAUUCAUACAAAUAGGUCUAUAAAUUGGAAAAGAAGAGAAAAUGUUCCUUUUUUGCAAACAUAUCUAUGUAGAAAAUUAAAAAUAAUAAAC